rnacentral:rRNA from 1 species
AACGUAGGAGACAAACGUUAUCCGGAGUUACUGGGCGUAAAGGGCGUGUAGGUGGUUUUAUAAGUCUGGCGUGAAAUUUUUCGGCUUAACCGGGAAAGGUCGUCGGAUACUGCGGAACUAGAGGACGGUAGAGGCGUGUGGAAUUCCGGGUGUAGUGGUGAAAUGCGUAGAGAUCCGGAGGAACACCAGUGGCGAAGGCGACACGCUGGGCCGUACCUGACACUGAUGCGCGACAGCAUGGGGAGCAAACGAGG